AGAUUAUACAUGAUAAUUUUUGUAAAACCGGUCAGGUCUGGAAGGAAGCAGCCGUAGCAAAAAAUUAAAAUGGUUCUUUAUUAGCAUCC
rnacentral:SRP_RNA from 1 species